GCCCGACAUUUGUAAGGAUUAUAAAGAAACGGGGUACUGUGGGUUUGGAGAUGCUUGUAAAUUUAUGCAUGACCGGGGGGAUUACAAGUCAGGGUGGCAGAUGGAGAAAGAGUGGGAAGAAGCAGAGAAAGCAAGGAAGAGAAAUUUGGCUAUGGGAGGAGAUGAUGCAGAUGAGGGAGGUGGAGGACAGAGCGAUGAAGAUGACGAUGAUGCAUUGCCAUUUGCCUGUUUCAUUUGCAGGCAGCCUUUCGUAGAUCCUGUU
rnacentral:lncRNA from 1 species